rnacentral:rRNA from 1 species
GACGAACGCUGGCGGCGUGCUUAACACAUGCAAGUCGAACGGGAAGGCCCUGCUUUUGUGGGGUGCUCGAGGGGCGAACGGGUGAGUAACACGUGAGUAACCUGCCCUUGACUUUGGGAUAACUUCAGGAAACUGGGGCUAAUACCGGAUAGGAGCUCCUGCUGCAUGGUGGGGGUUGGAAAGUUUCGGCGGUUGGGGAUGGACUCGCGGCUUAUCAGCUUGUUGGUGGGGUAGUGGCGUACCAAGGCUUUGACGGGUAGCCGGCCUGAGAGGGGGACCGGCCACAUUGGGACUGAGAUACGGCACAGACUCCUACGGGAGGCAGCAGUGGGGAAUAUUGCACAAUGGGCGGAAGCCUGAUGCAGCCACGCCGCGUGCGGGAUGACGGCCUUCGGGUUGUAAACCGCUUUCGCCUGUGACGAAGCGUGAGUGACGGUAAUGGGUAAAGAAGCACCGGCUAACUCCGUG